GGUGCAGUAGCUCAGUGGUAGAGCUUCCGUCUAGUACGCAGGAGGACCUGGGUUCGAUUCCCGGCUGCUUUC
rnacentral:tRNA from 1 species